AUCUAUUGGAUUCCUAGCAUUUUCUCAAGAGAAGCAGCCCUGGAACUUCUCUUCAGGCAUUAGUUAGUGCACUGGAAUUAUUUGGUGCUUCUCGAGGGCGUCAUGGUCCCAUCAAUUUUGAGACAACAAAAAGAGUCUUCUUUGAAUGGCGUUUUCAUCAGUAUGAACUUGGGAGAAUAAAAGGAGAAUUUGACAAGGGGUGCCCUGCAUGUGAUACAACACCUGUGGCUGUACAUAUUGAUGGCAACAAGAAACUGUAUCGUUACAACAAAGUUGGGAGAGGGAUCAGAAACUCAUAUUAUUCUGGUGGUAUCUUCGCUUGUGACAAAGAAGUUCAAGAUCACGUUUCCACUAUUCAGAACCUUAAAACUCAAGUAAGAAUAUUUUUACAUCUGUUCGAAAGCCUAAAAAUAGGUUUUCAAAUAGAAACCUAAGACCUAAUACCAGAGUAGCCAUAUGUGUGGAGUGUCGACAUUGAAAGCUGCCAAA
rnacentral:lncRNA from 1 species